rnacentral:rRNA from 1 species
CACGCAGGCGGUUUGUUAAGUCAGAUGUGAAAUCCCCGGGCUCAACCUGGGAACUGCAUCUGAUACUGGCAAGCUUGAGUCUCGUAGAGGGGGUAGGAAUUCCAGGUGUAGCGGUGAAAUGCGUAGAGAUCUGGAGGAAUACCGGUGGCGAAGGCGGCCCCUGGACGAAGACUGACGCUCAGGUGCGAAAGCGUGGGAGCAAACA